rnacentral:rRNA from 1 species
UACGUAGGGUGCAAGCGUUUAAUCGGAAUUACUGGGCGUAAAGCGUGCGCAGGCGGUUUUGUAAGUCUGACGUGAAAGCCCCGGGCUCAACCUGGGAAUGGCGAUGGAUACUGGCUCGCUAGAGUGCGGUAGAGGAGAGUGGAAUUCCCGGUGUAGCAGUGAAAUGCGCAGAUAUCAGGAAGAACACCCGUGGCGAAGGCGGUUCUCUGGGACGGUACUGACGCUGAGACGCGAAAGCGUGGGGAGCGAACAGG